CCUACGGGCGGCUGCAGUGGGGGAUAUUGCACAAUGGGGGGAACCCUGAUGCAGCGACGCCGCGUGUGGGAAGACGGUCCUCUGGAUUGUAAACCACUGUCCCCAGGGACGAAAAUGACGGUACCUGGGGAGGAAGCUCCGGCUAACUACGUGCCAGCAGCCGCGGUAAUACGUAGGGAGCGAGCGUUGUCCGGAAUUACUGGGGGUAAAGGGAGCGUAGGCGGGGAUGCAAGUUGGGUGUCAAAACUACCGGCUCAACUGGUAGUCGCACUCAAAACUGCAGCUCUUGAGUGAAGGAGAGGCAGGCGGAAUUCCUAGGGGAGCGGUGAAAUGCGUAGAUAUUAGGAGGAAAACCAGUGGCGAAGGCGGCCUGCUGGGCUUUUACUGACGCCGAGGCUCGAAAGUGUGGGGAGCAAACAGGAUUAGAUACCCGAGUAGUC
rnacentral:rRNA from 1 species